ACGGCCGUACCAUGCUGAAUAUACCGGUUCUCGUUAGAUCACCGAAGAACAUCAUUGGUAAAAAAUCGCAAAAUCAGUACUUGGGUGGGUGACCACCUGGGAACACUGCGUGCCGU